UAGCAAGAAGGUCACACCUGUUCCCAUGCCGAACACAGAAGUUAAGCUCCUUAGCGUCGAUGGUAGUCGAACUUACGUUCCGCUAGAGUAGAAC
rnacentral:rRNA from 1 species